rnacentral:rRNA from 1 species
ACGUAGGGUGCAAGCGUUAAUCGGAAUUACUGGGCGUAAAGCGUGCGCAGGCGGUUAUAUAAGACAGAUGUGAAAUCCCCGGGCUCAACCUGGGAACUGCAUUUGUGACUGUAUAGCUGGAGUGCGGCAGAGGGGGAUGGAAUUCCGCGUGUAGCAGUGAAAUGCGUAGAUAUGCGGAGGAACACCGAUGGCGAAGGCAAUCCCCUGGGCCUGCACUGACGCUCAUGCACGAAAGCGUGGGGAGCAAACAGGAUUAGAUACCCUGGUAGUCCACGCCCUAAACGAUGUCAACUGGUUGUUGGGUCUUCACUGACUCAGUAACGAAGCUAACGCGUGAAGUUGACCGCCUGGGGAGUACGGCCGCAAGGUUG